rnacentral:rRNA from 1 species
GUCGGUCUAAAUGACCUUGGUAACCGCAGCUAACGCGUGAAGUAGACCGCCUGGGGAGUACGGUCGCAAGAUUAAAACUCAAAGGAAUUGACCGGGGACCCGCACAAGCGGUGGAUGAUGUGGAUUAAUUCGAUGCAACGCGAAAAACCUUACCUACCCUUGACAUGGAUGGAAUCCCGGAGAGAUCUGGGAGUGCUCGAAAGAGAACCAUCACACAGGUGCUGCAUGGCUGUCGUCAGCUCGUGUCGUGAGAUGUUGGGUUAAGUCCCGCAACGAGCGCAACCCUUGUCAUUAGUUGCUACGCCAAGAGCACUCUAAUGAGACUGCCGGUGACAAACCGGAGGAAGGUGGGGAUGACGUCAAGUCCUCAUGGCCCUUAUGGGUAGGGCUUCACACGUCAUACAAUGGUACAUACAGAGGGCCGCCAACCCGCGAGGGGGAGCUAAUCCCAGAAAGUGUAUCGUAGUCCGGAUUGUAGUCUGCAACUCGACUGCAUGAAGUUGGAAUCGCUAGUAAUCGCGGAUCAGCAUGUCGCGGUGAAUACGUUCCCGGGUCUUGUACACACCGCCCGUCACACCAUGGGAGCGGGUUUUACCAGAAGUAGGUAGCUUAACCGCAAGGAGGGCGCUUACCACGGUAGGAUUCGUGACUGGGGUGAAGUCGUAACAAGGUACC